ACAUUACCUUCGUGAAUUGAGAAAUCCUGCGCGAUGGAAAUUGGGAGAAAAGACUGAUGAGGAACAUUUGUGAUGUACUGAUGUUCGCUUUCGAAUUUGAGCAGUUCAGAAUCGACAGGGGAGGUGCAGCGGCGGAAGCCAGAGGAUGCUUUGGUUCCUACAAUUUGAAAUGCAGCUUGCCCCGCUUUUAAGAAGCAUAGAAGGUCCUUUUAUGCAGCAGUACUCUUUAGAGCCUUUUGACAAGUGAGCACCAGACUCCACCAUGCAUUUUGCAUACGAGGCUUUGGUGUUAUCCCUUCCUAGCCCUCCAAUGCUGAUUCCAUGUCCUGGUCCACAGUUCACGUUGUGAGCAGGAAGAGAAAAAGUGAAAGCUGAUGUUCUAUUUGCUGAAGAAGACAAAGGGUGAUACAAGUCAGACAAUGGGUGGCUAUGAAUCUCAAAAAGGUGGCAUGUGGGGAAGACGGCUGGAUGCCACCUGCCCUAAUAUUAGUGGUUGGACUUUCUAUGGCGUCACUCCUGUUGGUCAAGGUUUGUUAUCAAUUGGGACUUAUUUACCAUAGUGAAGAGAGAAAAUAUCAAAACUAGGAAACAAUCCAUGUACAAGCAAUGUAGUUACCGCAAGCAAGAUUGGUAUGGUGGAUGUUCACAUCUCGGGAGUUCUGCAGAUGGAUUCCAUCUGUGUUGAUGCUGUCACCAGGAGACGAAACGCUCAUUUGAAAUACCAUGACGCCAAUGCAAUUGUCAAACUUGAGGUGGCAUUGAGGACUGUUCUGAAUUGUGAUGCCCGUGACUGUCACAUUAAAACUCCCAUAGAACCUCAGUGCCUGUUGAACAAAGAAUGCAAAUUGUCAUUUUACAGGUUUGCAGUGGUCAUCAACACUCUUCUGGAAAUGCAGCAGUUGUUUUCAAGUGGUCCAUACCGUUGGCUUGAGGCUUGGCAUUUUCCCACCAAGUUUGGUGUUUAUCUGCACGAAGUACCCAGUAAUGAAGCAUAAUUAGCCUAUGAAUGAUCCAAUGAUUAAAAGCGGAGAAAGGUUCAUCGUAUGGGGAGUCCUGCCACCAGACUGAGCCUCUUCCAUCGAUGGUGCCUUUUCCCAUAACCGUGAUACCUUUGAGCUUUGAGAAUUCAAGCCAUUGAUAGAGACCUGAACCCCAGGCCUGUGAGUUUGUUGGGGCGAUGAUUGUGCCAUCCAGCUGCAAAAAUAAAGAAGGAUUGAACACGAGUAUGGACCCGAGAAUGAUAUGGGUCCCACAAGGAAUGUGGAUCCCGAUGGAACGAUGACCGUUGAUGCCUGCACUUUACAAGCAGCUGUCCAUGCGGCUUCGAAUGCCUGCGUUGCACCGUAGCACAGCUGUGACUAUAUAACUAAAUAUACAACAGCUUUGCUUUAUACCUAUAUGUUUUUUUUAGGGAAUUUUCAUUUGGGGCGCAGGAGAGAAGGCUAUUUGGUGGGCAACAGUUUAGUGUAGUUUGUACGCCACCGUGCACGAUUAAUCUAUUAUGUUGCGAAACGGCCACAACGAGAAGCAUUUCAUUUUCCCCGUGGACCCCUCUCAGUUCCUUUUUGGUCACUGUGGAACCCUCUGUCGUCGUUUCCUUCGUUAUGUUUCCCCGUUUUGUGCGUACUAUAUUUUCUAAGCGAAAAGGAGGAAGAUAUUUGGAAUUAAUUGAUACACAUUCUGAUA